rnacentral:rRNA from 1 species
UACGAAGGGGGCUAGCGUUGUUCGGAAUCACUGGGCGUAAAGGGCGCGUAGGCGGCUUUGUAAGUCGGGGGUGAAAGCCUGUGGCUCAACCACAGAAUUGCCUUCGAUACUGCGAGGCUUGAGACCGGAAGAGGUUAGUGGAACUGCGAGUGUAGAGGUGAAAUUCGUAGAUAUUCGCAAGAACACCAGUGGCGAAGGCGGCUCACUGGCCCGGUACUGACGCUGAGGUGCGAAAGCGUGGGGAGCAAACAGG